rnacentral:rRNA from 1 species
GCAGUCGUGCGCCUCCAAGCUAUGAUGGAGACGCGGCGUACAGCUCAGUAACACGUGGCUAACCCACCCUUGAGACGGAGACAACCCCGGGAAACUGGGGCUAAUCCCUGAUAGGAGAAGACACCUGGAAGGGGUCUUCUCCCAAAAGGCGCUUAGAUCAUGCUUCUAGACGUCGCUCAAGGACGGGGCCGCGGCCGAUCAGGUUGUUGGUGAGGCAAUGGCUCACCAAGCCUAUAACCGGUACGGGCCGUGAGAGCGGGAGCCCGGAGAUGGGCACUGAGACAAGGGCCCAGGCCCUACGGGGCGCAGCAGUUGCGAAAACUCCGCAAUGCACGAAAGUGUGACGGGGCUACCCCGAGUGCCGUCCGCUGAGGGCGGCUUUUCCCCGGUGUAAGGAGCCGGGGGAAUAAGGAGAGGGCAAGUCUGGUGUCAGCCGCCGCGGUAAUACCAGCUCUCCGAGUGGUAGGGAUGAUUAUUGGGCUUAAAGCGUCCGUAGCCGGCCUAGCAAGUCUUCCGUUAAAUCCACCGAUUCAAUCGUUGGACUGCGGGAGAUACUGUUGGGCUAGGGGGCGGGAGAGGCCGACGGUAUUCUCGGGGUAGGGGUAAAAUCCUAUAAUCCCGGGAGGACCACCAGUGGCGAAGGCGGUCGGCUAGAACGCGCUCGACGGUGAGGGACGAAAGCUGGGGGAGCGAACCGGAUUAGAUACCCGGGUAGUCCCAGCUGUAAACGAUGCGGGCUA